rnacentral:rRNA from 1 species
UACAGAGGUGGCAAGCGUUGUUCGGAAUUACUGGGCGUAAAGGGCGCGUAGGCGGUUCGUUAAGUCCUGUGUGAAAUCCCCCGGCUCAACUGGGGAACGGCACAGGAAACUAGCGGGCUUGAGUUCGGGAGAGGGAAGCGGAAUUCCGGGUGUAGCGGUGAAAUGCGUAGAUAUCCGGAGGAACACCGGUGGCGGAGGCGGCUUCCUGGACCGACACUGACGCUGAGGCGCGAAAGCUAGGGGAGCAAACGGG